rnacentral:rRNA from 1 species
ACUCCUACGGGAGGCAGCAGUGGGGAAUAUUGCACAAUGGGCGCAAGCCUGAUGCAGCCAUGCCGCGUGUAUGAAGAAGGCCUUCGGGUUGUAAAGUACUUUCAGCAGUGAGGAAGGGUGGAGUCAGUUAANGCGGCCUCAUUUUGACGUUAGCUGCAGAAAGAAAGCACCGGCUAACUCCGUGCCAGCAGCCGCGGUAAUACGGAGGGUGCGAGCGUUAAUCGGAAUUACUGGGCGUAAAGCGCAUGCAGGUGGUUUGUUAAGUCAGAUGUG